GACGAAGGAUGCAAGCGUUAUCCGGAUUCAUUGGGUUUAAAGGGAGCGUAGGUGGCCUGCUAAGUCAGUGGUGAAAUCUCUGGGCUUAACCCAGAAAUUGCCAUUGAUACUGGUGGGCUUGAGUGCAGUUGCUGUUGGCGGAAUAUGACAUGUAGUGGUGAAAUACAUAGAGAUGUCAUAGAACACCGAUUGCGAAGGCAGCUAACAAAACUGUAACUGACACUGAGGCUCGAAAGUGUGGGGAGCAAACAGGA
rnacentral:rRNA from 1 species